CAUUUUGUUUGCUCUUUUAAGCAAACAUUACAAUAAUUGCAAAUUCUAUAAGCAAUUAAACAAAACUUACUGCACAUAGGAUGCAGAAUGAUGUUUUAUUUAGUGUGCAUAUGAUUUUCAGCUUAUGGACAAGAAAACAUAUACUUUAACAAUCACAGCAACACAAUGAGAUCCCAAUUUUAAAGAAAUAAUGCCACCUUUCAUUAAUUCAUUAAUUCAUUCUAUCAAUCAUUCAUAUAUAUAUUCAUUAAUUCAUUCAUUUAUUCAAUUUAUUCAUUGAAAAACUUGACAUUUCUCAAGGCAAAAUAAAUAAAAAGUGAGCAGCUUUCAUAAAGAAUAGAGCCUUUUCCCUUAAUGCAUUAAAAAACACAACCUUAAUACAGUAUAAAUGUUUUAAAAACCCUAAUUUAUUGCUUAUUUUAAUAGCCAGCCUGGUUGCUGUAGCCACAGAGGAAUUUUCAAGGACAAGAACCAGUGCUGGUAAAACUGUGGUCUCUGUGGUUUUCCAUACCGGCUCUCGGCAAGGAUUUUCAAGAAAGGAAUACCAUCUCCAAAUCAUGAUGUGCCAAUAAGCUCCAGUUAGCUGCGGCCUUUUCCCCAGGCGGUAGUCCUGCAAUCUGAAUCCAGGAGAUGCAGCUCUGAAUCCAAUAUUUCAGAAGAAUGAAGAUGAAGCAGACCCAGGAGGAACUGUCUGUUGAAGACCCCCCCCCCCCACCAAGCUGCCCACCAGAGGCCAAGCUGUACUUGGUGUUUGCCAACAUGCUGUAAUUUCCAGCCUGGUUGCUGUAGCCACAGAGGAAUUUUCAAGGACAAGAACCAGUGCUGGUAAAACUGUGGUCUCUGUGGUUUUCCAUACCGGCUCUCGGCAAGGAUUUUCAAGAAAGGAAUACCAUCUCCAAAUCAUGAUGUGCCAAUAAGCUCCAGUUAGCUGCGGCCUUUUCCCCAGGCGGUAGUCCUGCAAUCUGAAUCCAGGAGAUGCAGCUCUGAAUCCAAUAUUUCAGAAGAAUGAAGAUGAAGCAGACCCAGGAGGAACUGUCUGUUGAAGACCCCCCCCCCCCACCAAGCUGCCCACCAGAGGCCAAGCUGUACUUGGUGUUUGCCAACAUGCUGUAAUUUCCAGCCUGGUUGCUGUAGCCACAGAGGAAUUUUCAAGGACAAGAACCAGUGCUGGUAAAACUGUGGUCUCUGUGGUUUUCCAUACCGGCUCUCGGCAAGGAUUUUCAAGAAAGGAAUACCA